GGUUCCGAUCACGCAGCAGAAUAUAAAUUUCAAAAAUUUUUAAUAUGCAUAGAAAAAGUUUUAACAUUUAAAACCAACCAAUCAGAAUGCAAACUCUAGAAUCUUCUUGCAGCCUUCAAUCAAACCACAACAAGCAUGCAAUUAGGUAGAAGUUAUUCUUUCUGAAGACGAUGAUCUGGUAACAGAAUAGUCUCCAUAAGACUUCAAAAUAGAAGCCCUCCACUGG
rnacentral:lncRNA from 1 species